GACGAACCGAGCGAACGUUGUUCGGAAUCACUGGGCUUAAAGGGCGCGUAGGCGGGCUGCCGCGUCCGGGGUGAAAUCCCACGGCUCAACCGUGGAACGGCCCCGGGUACGGGCGGACUCGAGGGGGGUAGGGGCGUGCGGAACUGUAGGUGGAGCGGUGAAAUGCGUUGAUAUCUACAGGAACUCCGGUGGCGAAGGCGGCGUGCUGGAUCUCUUCUGACGCUGAGGCGCGAAAGCUAGGGGAGCAAACGGG
rnacentral:rRNA from 1 species